GGCAGCUUCUGUAAAAAAAAAAAAAAUUCUGCAAAAACACACAAAAAAAAAAAACAACAGUCCCCUGGAACGGGGAACCCAGCGCCAGAAAGUCACCUGAAAAAAAAAAGAGAGAGAUCAGCAGAUUCAAAAAAAAAAAAAAAAAAAAAAAGGAGACCGAACUUUGAGCCCCGAUCUACGUCGAUCAGGGUUGUUUCCGGUAAAAAAGGACACCGGAUCUGGAAAGAUCGCGUCGAAGAGAACUUCCAGAAGAAUUUUCACUUUUCCCGGUCAUCGGAAACCACCGUCCAAGACUGCCGGCGGCGAGCCAGACGGCGGCCGGCACGGUGCUCCGGCAACCGACCGGCGACCCUCCCCCAGAGCUCUCUCUCUCCCUCUCUCCCUUUUUUUUUUCUGAAAC
rnacentral:lncRNA from 1 species